GCUCAGAACGAACGCUGGCGGCAGGCUUAACACAUGCAAGUCGAGCGCCCCGCAAGGGGAGCGGCAGACGGGUGAGUAACGCGUGGGAAUCUACCCUUGACUACGGAAUAACGCAGGGAAACUUGUGCUAAUACCGUAUGUGUCCUUCGGGAGAAAGAUUUAUCGGUCAAGGAUGAGCCCGCGUUGGAUUAGCUAGUUGGUGGGGUAAAGGCCUACCAAGGCGACGAUCCAUAGCUGGUCUGAGAGGAUGAUCAGCCACAUUGGGACUGAGACACGGCCCAAACUCCUACGGGAGGCAGCKAGUGGGGAAUAUUGGACKAAUGGGCGCAAGCCUGAUCCAGCCAUGCCGCGUGAGUGAUGAAGGCCCUAGGGUUGUAAAGCUCUUUCACCGGAGAAGAUAAU
rnacentral:rRNA from 1 species